rnacentral:rRNA from 1 species
GACGAACGCUGGCGGCGUGCUUAACACAUGCAAGUCGAACGAAGUGGCGAACGGGUGAGUAACGCCUAAUCAACCUGCCCUUCAGAGGGGGACAACAGUUGGAAACGACUGCUAAUACCGCAUACUGAAGGAGGGGAUUGCGUCUGAUUAGCUAGCUGGAGGGGUAACGGCCCACCAAGGCGAUGGUGAGUAGCCGGUCUGAGAGGAUGAACGGCCACAUUGGGACUGAGACACGGCCCAGACUCCUACGGGAGGCAGCAGUGGGGAAUCUUCCGCAAUGGACGAAAGUCUGACGGAGCAACGCCGCGUGAGUGAUGACGGCCUUCGGGUUGUAAAGCUCUGUUAAUCGGGACGCGGUACCGGAAUAGAAAGCCACGGCUAACUACGUGCCAGCAGCCGCGGUAAUUC